CCCCUAGAUGUUCUGGGCCGCACGCGCGCUACACUGAACAGUUCAACAAGUCUUAACCUUGGCCGACAGGCCUGGGCAAUCUUUGAACAUCGAUCGUGAUCGGGAUAGAUUCUUGUAAUUUUUGAUCUUAAACGAGGAAUUCCUAGUAAACGCAAGUCAUCAGCUUGCAUUGAUUACGUCCCUGCCCUUUGUACACACCGCCCGUCGCACCUACCGAUUGAAUGGUCCGGUGAAAUCUCCGGACUGGCGUGAGUCGGAGCAAUCUGACAAACACCGGAAAGUUGAUUAAACCUUACCAUUUAGAGGAAGGUGAANUCGUANCA
rnacentral:rRNA from 1 species